UCCUGUUCCUCUUUAAUGUGUGGGGGCUCUGGGUCCUCCUGGUCCAGACUGGAGCUCCACUCCUGCUGCUCAGGGGGAACCUCUUCUUUAACCACCAACAGCUGCUGGACAUCUGCAGGAAAACAGUAAACACAAAUAGAGACUCUCAUGUGUAUCU